AAAAAAAUAACAAUAAUAAUAAGAAUAGUAAUAAUCAUCUCUACCCAAAAGAAAAAAUCAUCAGCGCAUCAUUUCUAAAAAAAAAAAACCAUCACCAUCAUCAUUUUUGCGAAGGUUGUUGACAGGGGCGAGAUUGGUUGCUGACCCAUCAACGACCGUUGUUUCCAACUACGGUAGGUGUUGUGUUGCUGCUGUGUUUUGUGCUGCUAUUGGAGUGAUUUGGGCAGCUGCUGCUUCAGUGCUCAAUCCCAAUGCUGAAAUGGAGUCCAGAAAUGUUUGGCUGUGAUUAAGGCUUCCUCAAGUGAUCUGGUUGCGGAGGAGGCUUCCCUCG
rnacentral:lncRNA from 1 species